GAUGAACGCUAGCGAUAGGCUUAACACAUGCAAGUCGAGGGGCAGCAUGGUCUUAGCUUGCUAAGACUGAUGGCGACCGGCGCACGGGUGCGUAACGCGUAUGCAACUUGCCUCACAGAGGGGGAUAACCCGUCGAAAGACGGACUAAUACCGCGUACACUCUAUUUUGGGCAUCCAAGGUAGAGGAAAUGAAAUUCGCUGUGAGAUAGGCAUGCGUCCCAUUAGCUAGUUGGUGAGGUAACGGCUCACCAAGGCGACGAUGGGUAGGGGAACUGAGAGGUUGAACACCCACACUGGUACUGAGACACGGACCAGACUCCUACGGGAGGCAGCAGUGAGGAAUAUUGGGCAAUGGGCGAGAGCCUGAACCAGCCAAGUCGCGUGAAGGAUGACUGUCUUAUGGAUUGUAAACUUCUUUUGUAGGGGAAUAAAGAGGGGCACGUGUGCCCCAGUGAAUGUACCCGACGAAUAAGCAUCGGCUAACUCCGUG
rnacentral:rRNA from 1 species